rnacentral:snRNA from 1 species
CAUUUUUGGUAAGCAGAA